UUUCUUUUCUCUGAUCUUAUGAGGCCGAGGGAAAGAAAAAUAUGCCACAACUAAUGAUUGUGAGUAUUGGUAUUGCUGGACCCUUCCGUACACAUUGGAAUCCUGAGAUACUGCAAAAGCAUUCAACAACCCAUGUGCUGCCAGAAAAUGCAGGAACUCUUGCUGUAAUGCUGGAGGUGGUCGGGCACAACUCACAGCCCUGCUUGGGACACAGCAGCUGGGGGUCCAUGGAGAUGUCUACCUGAGGCCAAUUGGAGCGAUGGAUGCUGCU